rnacentral:rRNA from 1 species
GACGAACGCUGGCGGCGUGCCUAAUACAUGCAAGUUGAGCGAUGAAGAUUGGUGCUUGCACCAAUUUGAAGAGCAGCGAAAGGGUGAGUAACGCGUGGGGAAUCUGCCUUUGAGCGGGGGACAACAUUUGGAAACGAAUGCUAAUACCGCAUAACAACUUUAAACAUAAGUUUUAAGUUUGAAAGAUGCAAUUGCAUCACUCAAAGAUGAUCCCGCGUUGUAUUAGCUAGUUGGUGAGGUAAAGGCUCACAAAGGCGAUGAUACAUAGCCGACCUGAGAGGGUGAUCGGCCACAUUGGGACUGAGACACGGCCCAAACUCCUACGGGAGGCAGCAGUAGGGAAUCUUCGGCAAUUGACGAAAGUCUGACCGAGCAACGCCGCGUGAGUGAAGAAGGUUUUCGGAUCGUAAAACUCUGUUGGUAGAGAAGAACGUUGGUGAGAGUGGAAAGCUCAUCAAGUGACGGUAACUACCCAGAAAGGGACGGCUAACUACGUG